UACGUAGGGGGCAAGCGUUGUCCGGAAUCAUUGGGCGUAAAGAGCGUGUAGGCGGCUCGAUAAGUCUGCUGUGAAAGUCCAGGGCUCAACCCUGGAAGGCCGGUGGAAACUGUCGGGCUAGAGUCCGGAAGAGGCGAGUGGAAUUCCCGGUGUAGCGGUGAAAUGCGCAGAUAUCGGGAGGAACACCAAUGGCGAAGGCAGCUCGCUGGGCCGAUACUGACGCUGAGGAGCGAAAGCGUGGGGAGCGAACAGG
rnacentral:rRNA from 1 species